AAAUUGAAGAGUUUGAUCAUGGCUCAGAUUGAACGCUGGCGGCAGGCCUAACACAUGCAAGUCGAGCGGAAACGACGACAUUGAAUCUUCGGAGGAUUUGUUGGGCGUCGAGCGGCGGACGGGUGAGUAAUGCCUAGGAAAUUGCCUUGAUGUGGGGGAUAACCAUUGGAAACGAU
rnacentral:rRNA from 1 species